UAGCAUUUCACCCCCCCCCUUUAAUGAAGGUUAAGGAAAACAGUCUGACACCAUGGGUAAUGAGGACACUCGCACCCUAAUAAGAGCAGCCCGGAAAAUGUAGCGCAGCUGGAGGAAAACAAAAUUAGAGGUAUUUCAUAUUGCUUUGCGGGAAAGUAACCUAUCCUACAGAAAAGCAUUCAAAACUGCUAGAUCUGAUUACUUUUUGUCUCUUUUAGAAGAAAACAAACCUAACCCCAGGUAUUUAUUCAAUACAGUGGCUAAAUUAACAAAAAAAAUAAAGCAUCAACAAGUGUUAACAUUUCCCAACAUCACAGCAGUAAUGACUUUAUGAACUACUUUACUUCUAAAAUUGAUACUGUUAGAGAUAAGAUUGUAACUAUGCAGUUGCAGCUACAGUAUCGCAUCAGACAGUGCACUAUAGAUCCCCUGAGGAACAGUUCCACUCAUUAUCUACUAUAAGAGAGGAAGAAUUGUAUAAACUUGUUAUAUCAUCUAAACCACCAACAGGUAUGUUAGACCCUAUUCCAUCUAAGCUCCUAAAAGAUGUGCUUCCAGAAGUCAUGGAUCCUCUUCUGACUAUUAUUAAUUCCUCAUUGUCAUUAGGAUAUGCCCCCAAAACCUUCAAACUGUCUGUUAUAAGCCUCUCAUCAAAAAGCCACAACUUGACCCCAAAGAACUAAUUAAUUAUAGAACAAUCUCGAAAAGGUAGUAUCCUCACAAUUAUAUUCCUUCUUAGAGAAGAAUGGUAUCUGUGAGGAUUUCCAGUCAGAAUUUAGAACUUAUCAUACUACUGAGAAUGCUAUCCUAUAUAGUUACAAUUGACUUGUUGACUUGCUCAUCUGAUCUUGGUUAUAUCUUUCUAUUUGUGCUAUUGGAUCUUAGUGCUGCGUUUGACACUAUUGACCACAACAUUCUUUUGCAUGAACUAGAACACUUUGUUGGCAUAAAUGGAAGUGCAUUAGAUGGUUUAAAUCAUACUUAUAUGACUGGCAUCAUUUCGUAGCAGUGAAUGAAGAGGUAUCAUAUUGACCAAAAGGUCCAGUAUGGAGUACCUCAAGGCUCCGUAUUAGGGCUGUUACUCUUCAAAGUGUAAUGAUGGACUUUACCUGAGUGUGUUAUAAUUGGAAUAAAGCAUUGUUGAAGCAUCAGCUGUACUAAGCAAAAACAAAUGGAACAAAUAAAAAUAAAGAAUCCCCAGUUUAGUCUGUUAUUAUUCUGUUCUUGGAAAAAAGGUCAGUUAAAUGUAACUGGUGUAAGAUAUUACUGUAUGAAAAAAAAAAUGUAACCCCUCAUUUUUUUCUAGAUACUGUAAGUGUAUGGAAGGGUUUUUUUUAAAAACAGUCCACUAAAACAAUUACGAUGUAAAUCAGUUACUAAUCUUUUAGCACAGUGUAGCGAAUCAGCUCAAAUGGGGAAUAAGAAUAAUUAAUCAUAGCUUGUUAUACUUAUAAAUAUUUAGAAGAUCUGCUGAAGGUAUUUACUUGACAUCUCAGUGUCAACUAUGUCAAUUCUAAGAAUGUUAAUUUCCUGGUUAAGGAAAAUAACUUUCCUACCUUCCUAGAAUAUAACUCAGAGUUUGUAGCAAAAAACAGAAUUAUUAGGGAUUCCACUUAUGAGCAAACAAUGGAAAACCUCAAGUGUGAUACAAGUAAGAAUUUAUUAACUACAUAAAUAGACUUAAACUAGUCAUACACAUACAUACAAACACAAACACACACACACACACACACACACAGUGGACAUAGGAAAAAGGGUUAAAGCUUUAGCAGUAAAGAGAAGAGAAAUAAAGACAUGAAACUAUGGUACAAUUUGAUAUUCAGCAGAUAUACAGCCUUAAGGAAACAUCAGUUUCUUAGUUAAAACACCUUUGUAAAAGGACAAAAUGAUACUUAAUGUAUCAAUUAAUAAGACUAAGUUUGAUACUUGCACAUCUCACCUGUUUGAAAGAGAGUCCUGAUACUGGGAAGUUUUACGACCCUUUGUCUGAGAGCAUGGCAGUUUGCAACUGAAACUGGAUCAGAAGUUGAUAUACAAACUAGUAAAGAUUCUUAGUACACUAAUAUGUUGCAUCAACAUAUAAAAUUCACUCUUGUUUAAAAUCAUCGGAAGACUAUUUGAUAGAGACCAAACAUGGUAUAAGUGAGGUGAUAUUAACUAGUGUUCUAUCAUAAGCAUGCAUAAAAAUGUCAAAUUCAAUAGACAAUAUACAAGAACAGCACUAAUAUACACAAUGAUAUGAAAUAUAUGUGUGUUCAUUUAAAGAGAGGUUUUCUUAUGAAUAUUUUAGAGAAGAGUCCAUUUUAUGGCCAUUAUGUGUCUCUACUAAGGGGAAAUGAAGUGGGUGUGGCUCUGCCCACAUUCCUUCGGGCAAUAAAACUGUUAUCAGACUACCAGGUUACCAUGGAACUGAAGGCCUGUUGGCCUAUUUUAGGUGUUAGUUGCAUUUCGGGGGAAGGGUCCUUAGAUGAGCGGGCGUUAGAUAUUAUUUGUUAAUAUGUCUCUGAUUGGUCCAAAUGCUACAAGAGUCAAACAGGAAACAAACAGCUCUGGUCGAAGGAGUAUUCACCAGCCACGUAAAAUGUUCACAUUCAAGACAGUUUGCACAUAAUUUCUAGUUGACAAGUCUAAGUAAAAUAAAUAAUCUCUGUAUAUGCUUCAAAUACUGAAGUAUGUUGUUCACAUAUGUUUCCAAUGGAAUCAAAAGAUUAAACUGCAUAACUUCAGUUAAUAUUAGCACACAAACAUGGACAAAACCACAGGGUCACCCAGGGACAAAGUUCAUCUGUGUUUUUUUUUAUUAUUAUUUAUUAAGUCCUGUUUGAAGUGGUGGAUGGAAGGGGACAGUUGCUUUCAGCAACACAGACUUAACUACGUCUUUUGGAAAACAGCUUAAAAUGAAAUAUUGUGAAGUUUUUCUCAUCCUUCAGUUAAUGUUCAUGGAUGUCUCAACAAAAGAAAUUACCUGUGAAGGUGAACAGCUCAUCAAUGUUGACAUUGUAGUUGGAAAUCCAGACCCAUAUCAGCCAUUACAGGCCAAUUUCAAAGCAACAAUACAUGUUUGAGCACGAAAAACACACUUUGGAGAAGGUGAUGAGCCCUCAAGAACAGGAAAAAGCAGCCCUUCUUGGCUAAAAACACGGUGAUGUAAACACUGUUUGGUUCAUCUUUGAAACAAAUUACAAUUUUUUUUUUAUUUUAUUUUUUUUUAUGAAACUUUUAUGAGAGAUUUCUGUGCAUCCAUAGAAAGUUUAGGUAACAAAAACGUAGAAUAUCCCAAAAGGUUGUAAAGGUGUUUUAAAAGUAUUCAAUAUGAAUUUAGUUGUAGUUGUUUUGACUUGUUUCUUGUGAUGAGAUCCAAUCACUAUACAAUGAAAAUAUUUAAUGUAGGCUUUCAUUCAAAUAUAAACACACAUACAUUUCAUAUUGAUGCAUUUUAUGACACCUCUUGGUUACAUGGACUGAUACUGGAGAAAAGGAAAGUUUUCAGGUUUCAUUAUGAAAUAUCUUAAUUUGUGUUUUGAAGAUAGCCAAAGUCUGAUGGAUUUGAACUACAAGGGUGUAAGUAAAUAAAAAUUAUGAUGAUGAAAUCCUUGAAAAAUGAAACUACAGAUUAUGUUUUUCUAGGUAAUUGAUGUUUCCAAAAAGGACCAAAAAAUACCUUGUGAAAGGUAUUGAAAUCGAUAAGGAGUUUACAGUGUUGACCUUGCAUUUAAUGUAUUUUUCAAAUGUGUCCAAAUGUGAUAAUCUGUCCUUUUCUUUUUCUUUUCUAAAGUUUAAUGCAAGUUCAUGUUAAAUGUUCUUGGAUGUUAAACUUCUUGGAUGUUCUAUUCUGGAAUGUUAUGCUUUUAUUAAGCCAUGGUGUUUUAAAGCAAUUUUCACUAUUAACUUGUAAAUUCUUCCUCAAAAUCCAAAAGUGGAAAUGAUGUCAAUGAGUGUUUUAAUGUGAUGUAAUAAACAUUUAAAAAUGUU